UACGUAGGGCGCAAGCGUUGUCCGGAAUUAUUAGGCGUAAAGAGCUCGUAGGCGGCUUGUCACGUCGGGUGUGAAAGCCCGGGGCUUAACCCCGGGUCUGCAUUCGAUACGGGCUAGCUAGAGUGUGGUAGGGGAGAUCGGAAUUCCUGGUGUAGCGGUGAAAUGCGCAGAUAUCAGGAGGAACACCGGUGGCGAAGGCGGAUCUCUGGGCCAUUACUGACGCUGAGGAGCGAAAGCGUGGGGAGCGAACAGG
rnacentral:rRNA from 1 species